rnacentral:ncRNA from 1 species
UUUCAUAGUUUUGUAUAAGCUUCCUAGUAAGUUUAAUAUUAGUGUCUUAUAUGAAGUGUAGAGAUUAAUAUUGUAUAAAUAUCUUAUAGUUAUGGCUAAUAUUAUAAACCUAGAUAAUUAUGUGCCAGCAUCUGCGGUCAUACAUAGAGGUUAAAUUUACUUACCCCUACUUGACUUAAUAAAAUUAAUAAAAAUUAAAUAUGUUUUUAGGUUAAAUUAUAUAAUAUAUAAAAUUUUAUAUAAAAAGUUUCUAAUCUGAGUAAAAAACCAGGAUUAGAUACCCUGCUAUGGCAGAAAAGAUUAAAGUAGAAGAUUAUUUUAAUAAAAAAAUUCAAAUUACAUGGCGGCCAGGGAUUCGGAUUAGAUGAAUAUGUCUCUUAAUAGAUACUACCCAUAUAACCGUACUUAGCUUAGAAAAAUUCACUCUUCCCACCGCCGUUUAUAAGUUUAAUAGAUUUUACUUAACAAUUAGUCGUUAAUCUAAAAAAAUCAGGUAAAGGUGAAGGUAAUAGCUAUAGACGAGAUGUAUUACAACUUAAAUAUAACUGGACAAUUUCUUGUAAAGAAAUUGGAAAGAGAAUUUAAUAGUAAUAAAUUUUCAUGAUAGCUUUAUGAAUUCGAGCCCCCUUUUGCACAAAUCGCCCGUCAUUCCCAAUUCAAUUUUGGGACAAGUCGAAACAAAGUGGAAGUACUGGAAAGUGAUUCCCUAAAU